AAGCGUUGUCCGGAAUUACUGGGCGUAAAGAGCUCGUAGGCGGUUUGUCGCGUCGUCUGUGAAAACCAGCAGCUCAACUGUUGGCUUGCAGGCGAUACGGGCAGACUUGAGUAUUUCAGGGGAGACUGGAAUUCCUGGUGUAGCGGUGAAAUGCGCAGAUAUCAGGAGGAACACCGGUGGCGAAGGCGGGUCUCUGGGAAAUAACUGACGCUGAGGAGCGAAAGCGUGGGUAGCGAACAGGAUUAGAUACCCUGGUAGUCCACGCCGUAAACGGUGGGCGCUAGGUGUGGGUUUCCUUCCACGGGAUCCGUGCCGUAGCUAACGCAUUAAGCGCCCCGCCUGGGGAGUACGGCCGCAAGGCUAAAACUCA
rnacentral:rRNA from 1 species